GACGAACGCUGGCGGCGUGCUUAACACAUGCAAGUCGAGCGGAAAGGCCUGCUUUCCCUUGUGGAUUGCGGGUACUCGAGUGGCGAACGGGUGAGUAACACGUGAGUGAUCUGCCCCCAACUUGGGUAUAAGCCUGGGAAACUGGGUCUAAUUCCCGAUAGGACUGCAGGGUGGUGCCUGUGGUGGAAAACGAUUUUCUAGUGGUUGGGGAUGAGCUCGCGGCCUAUCAGCUUGUUGGUGGGGUAAUGGCCUACCAAGGCGGCGACGGGUAGCCGGCCUGGGAGGGUGGACGGCCACAUUGGGACUGAGAUACGGCCCAGACUCCUACGGGAGGCAGCAGUGGGGAAUAUCGCACAAUGGGCGGAAGCCUGAUGCAGCGACGCCGCGUGGGGGAUGACGGCCUUCGGGUUGUAAACUCCUUUCGACCGCGAGGAAGCCACCUGGUUGGAAGGGUGGUGACGGUAGUGGUAGAAGAAGCACCGGCUAACUACGUG
rnacentral:rRNA from 1 species